CUGUGGAGGCAGGUUUGUAGAUGCAGCCUGAGCUUUGGUCCUCUCCUGGUAGCAGAAGGAGUAGACGCAGGGCACCGUGAUCAUGAAGACCAACAGGACUGGAAGAACCAGAAGAUAAAGUAUCAGAAUCAGUUAAAGGGUGAACAGGGGGCAGCUUUAAGGGGGAGCAGUGAGUGGGGACGGUGCCAACUCCAAGAAAUACAUCAAGGCACAACUACCAAGCACAAAGCAUGACCACAGCCAUUGACCGACGUAUACAGAAAAAUGACUCCACAAAGACAGGGUGAGGUAGAGAGGUAUAUAUACCCAGGACACUAGGUGACACCAGGUGAGUGUGAUGACACUAAUCACCUCCACACACUGACAGCAGGGGAGGGGGCAAACCUCACAGUUUCUUAUACAGAUAUCAACAAAUGAGUACAGCAGAAAUAGAAUCUCCAAAAUUAAAGUUCACGAGCCAUAGAAUAAUCAGUAGUCCACACUGUAGUUUGAUUUGAUGAUUGACAAAAACUCACCAAUGAACAGGACUAGAACCACAAAGGCUCUCUUCUCCAGGACGUUGGCCUGAGGGAGAUCUACAAGUUUGUUGGACACCUUCUGAAGAAUUUCCAGCACCUCCUCCUUCACACCCAUGCUGACUCUGAGAUGUGCAGCCGAUUAAUGAAUGAAUUGAAUACAGGAGCAAGCGGAGUUUGCAGACCUGAUGCACUGCAGCGCUGGAGGAAGACUAGAUGUACGUGGGCUUCACUGUUUCUGACAAAGUUAUUUUCUUAUGCAGCUCCACCCUUAACUGCUUCCACCCUGCAAUUACUCCUCAAGGCUGGUGGAGCUGAAGUAGUCGUGUACACCAUCACCCUGAAAUGAUGACUAGUGGUACAUCAGUGCUGUAGCUGUAAUGAAUCUACUGAUUACUGCGUUGUAUUCAAGUGUACAUACACCUACAAUACUUAGGUGUCUCAGCUGUGGUCUAACACUCAGACAGAUUGUGUCGAUCUGUGUGUUGUCUCACAGUCGGAGUACAUUCAUAUCCAACCUCCUCCACGUAGAGUUUAAUUAUAAACCAGGAAAACUAUUUCCAGCCUGGCAUUUCAGGAGUGUGUCCAGUCCUCCUCAGCAGAGCAGCUGUGUGUGGGUGAGUUGUCGGCUGACACCAGUGAGGACACUGGACUGUGACGUGGAAACUCAGGACAUGAAUGAGAAACACUGGAAGUUAUUGGAUUAGUAUAAUCCUUGUAAUGAAAACACUGUGUUAUUGAAGUUGUCUGCACGUCUAAUGUCUGGGAUACUUCCCAAAACCCUGGGUCAGGACCCUGAGAUGGGUCUUAAAUAUAUAAACAUGGCAUCACGUUCAUGUCUCUGCUUAAGAAUAGCAAGAAUAUAAUUAAAAUACCAAGGACAAAGUCAGUACGUCCUGUGAAUGGUUCCUUUAAACGGUGCACAGUGGCAAAUGUGGUUAGAACACUCUUCAGCAAAAACAUCAUUGCUCCUCCAGUUUUUUCACAUACAGUUUGACAGUCUGGGUUUCUUUCUUCUUACAUACAUAAAGAUGAACAUUUUGAAGA